GACGAAGGGGGCUAGCGUUGUUCGGAAUUACUGGGCGUAAAGGGCUCGUAGGCGGCCAACUAAGUCGGAUGUGAAAUCCCCAGGCUCAACCUGGGAACUGCAUCCGAUACUGGAUGGCUUGAAUCCGGGAGAGGGAUGCGGAAUUCCAGGUGUAGCGGUGAAAUGCGUAGAUAUCUGGAGGAACACCGGUGGCGAAGGCGGCAUCCUGGACCGGCAUUGACGCUGAGGCGCGAAAGCCAGGGGAGCAAACGGG
rnacentral:rRNA from 1 species